rnacentral:tRNA from 1 species
GGAGAGGUGGUCGAGUGGUUAAUGGCACUGGGCUGUAAACCCAGCGUCCUUCGGGACUACGGAGGUUCGAAUCCUCCCCUCUCCACCA